rnacentral:rRNA from 1 species
AUGAAAAAAGAGCAACGACACAGUAAGCGGAUGGAACCGAAGAACACCGCACAACUAAUUGAAGCAAUGAGAAAUCCUCACGAAGAAGCAAAAACCCAGCAAAAUACUGACGAAGACCCUGCUGAAGAGCAUGCAAUCCAGGAAGCUCUUGACAAAGCAAAAAGGCAAAAGAAAAAGGAAAAUGAUGAAAACAUCAUCGACACUGGUACCUUGCAACAUCAGCCAUUACCUCUAAUGGUACUCUCGCCAACAGAACCAACCGGCACGAAGAAACAAGCUGAACGCAACAAGAAAAACAAACGACAAAGGGUAGAAAAAGAACAAGAUGAUAUCAACAGCAAAGGAUCAGAUACCAAUGACGACGACGAUGACAGACAGCAUGAUGCAGAUUUCAUUCCUACAGACGGCGAUGAUGCCGAAGAGCACGACAGCGACGCAGAACAUGACGACGAUCCCAAAUCAGGCAAGAAGGACAGAAAGAGAAGAAAGACAAGCGGGAAAGAACUGGUAGUACCAACAGUUGACGAAGAACAACAAGAAACAGAUGAAGAGAAAUGCCAAAUCAAGGCAGGGGCAGCAUUCGCCCAUGUCAAGAAAGCAUGGAAUUUACUUAAAGACCGUCACAAGAAAGAUAUUAGGACGGCGGGAUUUGGCAGCAUAGAGAACUGCAAAAUAACGAGCUCCAUCUGCAGACCGCUUGCAGCACACAUCUACGACAACCUCAACACAGAAACCAUGACAAUAACCCUCGGUGAUGCUACUGAAGACAAAAAAAUCAAGAUUAUCAAGGAAGCUACCCACAAGGUGUUUGGAUACCCAAAUGGCAUGCAAAGCGCCGCUAUCUUCGCCCGGACAGCUAUAAUGGUCAAGGACAUGGACUAUCCAGAAAUGGCAAAGAUGGAUUUUUGCGAGGUAAUAGUCGAAUGUAUUAGGGAAGGAACCAAGACAUGGCAGAAGCACAGGAUGUUGCCUCAGGAGGAAAAGAACAAAAAGCACAUCAAUGGUUUGGCACAGGUACUAGUAAUCAUGUACCUUGAGUCCCUGCUGCUGCCAACCGACACAAAAGAAAUGCGGAAGAUUGCAAAGACAAUGGACAAAACCUCAUUACCACGAGCAAACCAUCUCAAAGAGAGUGACCUAGAGAAAAUAGCUAGAGCAGACAUGAAAACGGACGGAAAAGCACGACCAGAUGACUAUGAAUUUGGCAAGAUACAGGAGAACAUCGUAAAGAACAGCAACACCAGCACACAACCAAGCUGCUACCACCUCCACCCAAGCACCGGCGUGAACCACGACAUAGUUUGCACAAGGUACCUCACAGACAACGCGACCCUGCAGACGCUAGAGCAAGCAGUUCUAGCAGCAUCAAGUAGACUAGUCAAUGCCAACCGCACGAAUGAAAUAGUAGCCACAACAGAACAAAGAGAAAGGAGAAAAGGUAAGAAAGGAGAAGAGGACGAAGAGAGGAAGAGAAGAACAAAAUCAAGGGACGUGGGCAUUGACAAGAAGAAGAUAAAGCGCACGCCACGCCAAGAUGAACUCCAACAGCAGGAUGGCGUCAACAACCCCAAAAACAAGAAUGAACGCAACAAACAAAGCAACCUCACAACAGACAGUGCUACAACAAAAACUACUCCAACACAAGCACAAGAUACGAUCGACGUCAGAACCAGUGAAGAGACUCAGCUGGAGAACAAUCAAGUCAGCAGUCCCGUCAACCAAAUGCAAGAGGCUGACCCACAAUCUACCGUUAGCAUAACAAACAACAAAGAAGAAGAAAACAACAAAGAGGAGGUAUCACAAUCACUGCAAGACCAAGAGACAACCAGUGUUGAAAUUGAACCCCAUAGUGAACCUCAAAUAGACGAAGGAGUCACAAAACAGGAAGUUUGUGCACAAGAGAUUUCCAGUGCCACGACAUUGCAGAUCACCAUCACGAGUACAAAGGAGAAAACCCAAGACAUCCAAGCCGAUGAGAAACUAGAGACUGUUAUACCUGGCAAAGAAACAGUCGAUGCAGGCACGAAUAACCCAGUCAUCAACACAGAGGAAACAAAAAAGUACAUUGAUCUCGAAGAUCAAGAAGCAGCGCAACCAAAGGAAACUGGAAAACACACAGAACUUCAAACAACAACAUCUGAAGAGGAAGAGGAAGCAAGCGAAAGCACUCGCAUAGACAUUGAAGAAGAAAAACUAGAGGACAGAAUGAGACAAGGAGAAGCCGUAGUUCCAACAGUAGACAGUCCUGCAAAUCCAGAGAAAGAGGCACAAGAAGCUCAGGAGAGCACCAACAAUCAAGACCAUCAAACACAACCAGAGGAGCCCAAUGAACAACCCGGACAUGUUCAUCAAAUGAGAGAGGAGAAAGAUGAGCAAAAGGAGGCCAUUGAAGAAGGGAAAAAUGUUCUUCAAACGGCAGACAUCAACGUCAAAGAAAACCUAGUGCCAAAAUAUUCACUCACCGAAAAAACCACAGCAGAGACGGCAGCAGCGACAAUGACUGAAAAGCUCAACAAAGAACAAGCACAACAGUCAGCAGCAGCAACGAGAAUAGUAGCAAAGACAACAGAAACAGCAACGACUGAGAAGGUCAGUGCCAUCCAGGUCGAGACUGAAAAAGAAGACGGAAAAAACCACCAGCAAGACAUAACGGUUGACAAGGAAAAACAUGAUGCUAAGAAAAGCACAGACGACUCAAAUAAGGAUGGAGAAGAAACUGAACAAAAGGGCACAGUGGAGAAAGGGAGCAAAGAUAGCGAUUCCGUCAACAAAGCCAUCGAAGACCUAUACAAUGUUGUAUGCAAGCCAUGGACAAAGAGAGAAAUGGAUCAACUUUUCAUUACUUCGGACAAGUUUGAUGUAAAUCUAGGACAUGUCUCCGAAAGCUUCAAGGUCGGUAAAUCAGUGCGCACCGAAGCAAUAGAGCCCAUGCUAACAAUCUUGAGAAAACAACUCAAUGGUACAUGGAGAAAUAUUCUGUCGUUAAGCAACACUUUCCUUCUACCAUGUUCGUUGAGCGGGUUUGAGCAAGACGAAACUAUAAGUCAUUACUUCACCAUCACAGUUAACAUGCAAAAACAGCAUUUUGAACUCCUCGACUCUUCAACUGCAUAUCCAGGCACAAUAGAAUUCUUCAACAAUGUAACCAGCAAAUUAAUGAAAAUCUGGAAGCACAUAAGCACAGAGCUACAGCUUUCAGAAAAAAGCAUCGACCAUUACAAAAAGGUCAGACUGCAGGUGCCACUUCAAGGAGAAGACACAAUGGACUGCACAUUCCACAUGUACAUGAACCCGAAGCACUACUCCAGUGAUGGAACAACAGCAACCUUAAAGCCAGAACGAGUACGAAAGUUGAGGAAAAAGGUUCUAUAUCAACUAAUCAGCCAACACAGAGGGAAUACAAAACUGUCACUAAUCAAGUGUACAACAGAUAUGCUGAAAUAUGAAGUAGAUAUGGAAGACAAAGAAAUGCAACAAGCAGAAUGUUGCGUACUAGAAGAGUUUCCGCCAACUACCGGGCCAAAAGAACAUAUUAUGCAUGCGGCAACCACACAAGAGCAUGAAGUUAUUGAUAUAUCCAGUAAAUGCAAAGAUAUUAUGGAUGUCAGCAGCCACGCCGCCGCCCAACAAUCUUGCACAGUCCACGAACAAAAUGAUCCACCAAUAGAACCAGAUUAA